rnacentral:sRNA from 1 species
CACCUAAACUCUUUGGUUUUCUUAAUCACACGAUAUUAACUUGGUCAUCAAAAAAAAAAACAGAGUUCCUUGCGAUUACGGCAACAAGAACAUGAACGUGAGAGUAGAAGAAGCAAGCAAGAAACCAAACU